rnacentral:rRNA from 1 species
UACAGAGGUCUCAAGCGUUGUUCGGAUUCAUUGGGCGUAAAGGGUGCGUAGGCGGCGCGGUAAGUCGGGUGUGAAAUCUUGGAGCUUAACUCCGAAACUGCAUUCGAUACUGCCGUGCUUGAGGACUGGAGAGGAGACUGGAAUUUACGGUGGUAGCGGUGAAAUGCGUAGAGAUGGGGGGAGAACACUCGUGGCGAAAGGCGGCGCUCUGGACCGAGACUGACGCUGAGGCGCGAAAGCGUGGGGAGAAACAGG